CACUAUAACAAUACCACCCUGAACAUGCCUGAUCUUGGAAGCUAAGCAGGGUUGUGCCUGGUUAGUACUUGAUGGGAGAUUGCUUGGGAAUACAGGGUGCUGUAGGAA
rnacentral:rRNA from 1 species